UUUGUAGUAUGGAAGUUGUAAAGCUGUGUUUUAAUAGGAUUACCUUAGGAAUAAGAGGACUGCUUUUUAAAGAUACGAGAUCCCGCUGCCUUGGCAAUUCUGUUAUCAGAAAGAUAGUGAUUUUGAUACAAAACAGUAAGAAACUGUAGAAUUGCAGGACCCAUAAUCCUCACAAGGAAGAUUUAGAGAGUGCUGUGUGUCAAUCACUCAUCAGCACCUCACAGAUAUUAUCUCAAUUCGUCCUGGCAACCAUCACUGCCCCUACUUAGCAGUCUCAGAGAGGAGACUCAACUCACACAGGGGCCAAGAGCUGGACCACGGAAAUGGGACAAAACAUCCUUUCUGCCAACUGCAGGGGCAGCAGAACGCCACAGUGGUUGAGCAUGGGCUCUGGUGAAGGAUGGCGGGGGUUCAAAUCCCAGUUCUCCACCUCUCUGCUUCGCUCCGAUUCCUGGGCCUCUGAGCUGGUCUCCUCCGCUGUGGAGUAACAGUGUGACUGCUCAUCUGCACAGAUUCCUUCUGUGCUGGACACGGUUCCAACUUUCCAACUACUCCCGCAGGAGCUCAUUUAGUGGAGACAAGAUCUUGCUCAGUGUCAUAGUGAGGAAGAAAUGGAAAUAUCUGUGCAGGGCCCAAGCCCGGCCUGGUGCGGGAGAGGCAUUAAUAAACGCAGCUUGAGUUCAGAAGCAGGUGGUCUGUGGCUCACUCAGCCUGGCUUC
rnacentral:lncRNA from 1 species